rnacentral:lncRNA from 1 species
ACCUGGGGAAACGGGAAAUAUACUUUUGACUUGUGAAGAUGAAGUUGCUUUUUGUUCUCUUGUGGCCACAACUACAAUUAGGGGAAAAGAGUAACGUUGGAGUUGAAAAGCCUGGCAGACACCAUGUUCGACUGAGUGAUCAGAGUGAGCGCCGCCAGCCAUGAAACACACUGAAUCUGGAACAAUGGUGCAGCCCACUAUGGCUUCUCUGAUAGUCCUGCCAAAGGGCCUCAGCUGAAGAACCCAGAAGACAGUGGAAAAAGUUUUUCCCUCCCUAUAUGGGAGUGUGAGAGCCCAACUCUGCCUCAAGAGAGAAGAAAGUCUAAGGAGUUACUUGUGCUCCAGAGCUCCCUGGGAAUCAGACAGAGAGCCUAAUGGACCUGGAGGAAAAUAAAAACCCAACUCCAUUUCCCCCUAGCCACCCUGUCCUAGCUCAGGGAAAAACUGAGAAGCUGAAUGAAGCUCACAGUCCAGGGCACAGGCUCAAGACAGACUGGGUCCUAAUCACAGGUCUACACACUGAGUCCUAAUCACAGGGCUAUGGAACCCUUCCCUUCCCCACACCUCACCAAAGGCCUAUUUGCCACCGUUUCUGACCCAGUGCAUCACAUCUGGCUAUCAACAAACAAUCACAAGGCAUAAAAAAAGGUAAAGACCACAGUCUGAAAAGACAGAGCAAAUGUCAGAACCAGACUCAGCUAUGGCACGGAUGUUGGAACUAUGAGACUGGGGAUUUAAAAUAACUAUGAUUCAUGUGCUAAGGGCUCUAAUGGAUAAAGUGGACAGUAAGCAAGAACAGAUGGGCAAUGUAAAUAGAGAGAUCAAAGUUCUAAGAAAGAAUAAAAGAGAAAUGCGAGAGAUCAAAAACACUAACAAAUGAAGGAUGCUUCUCACGGGCUCAUUAGUAGGCUGGGCACAGCUGAGAAAGACUCUCUGAGGCUGAGGAUAUCUCAAUAGAAACAUCCAGAACUGAAAAGCAAAGGGAAAAAAUGCUGAAUGAAAAAGGCAUAGAAUAUCCAAGGACUGUGGGAUAAUUAGAAAAGGUAUAUGUUUAAUAGGAAUACCAAAAGGAGAAGACAGAGAGAAAGGAACAGAUGGAAAGUUGGAAACAAUAAUGACUGAAAAUCAGACACCAAACCACAGAUCCAGGAAGCUCAGAGAACACCAACCACGAUGAAUGUCAAAAUUAAGCCUAGCCACAUUGUUUUCAAACUACAGAAAAAUCAGAUAAGGAAAAAAAUCCCAAAAGAUGCCAAAGGUGAAAAACACCUUACUUCCUUAGAGGAACAAAGGUAAGAAUUUCAUCUGACUUCAUGGAAACCAUGCAAGCAAGAAGACAGUGGAGUGAAAUAUUGAAUGUGUUGAGAAAAAAACUCCACCAGUCUAGCAUUCUAUACUCUGUGACAUUAUCCUCCAAAAGUAAAGGAGACUUAAAGGCUUUCUCAGACAAACAAAAAUUCAGGGAAUUUGAUGCUAGCAGAUCUGCCUUGUUAAAUGUUCAAAGAAGUUAUUCAAGGCAAUAAAAAUUGUUAUAGGUCAGAAGGUCAUAUCUACAUAACAAAAGAAAGAACAUCAGAGAAGAAAUAAGUGAAGGUAAAAUGAAAUUUUUAACUUGUUACUCUUAAUCUAACAGAUCAAUUUGUUCAAAAUUAUUGUAGCCACAAUGUAUUAACAUAUAUACAAAUGUGCUACCGAGCCAUGAAAAGAUAUGAAGGAAACAAAUGCAUAUUACUAAGUAAAAGAAGCCAAUCUGAGAAAAGCUAUGUAAUAUAUAAUUCCAACCACAGGACUCACUGGAACAGGUAAAACUAAGGUGGCAAUAAAAGGAUUAGUGGUUGUCCGGGGUUAGGGUGUGGGAGGGAUGAACAGGUAGAGCACAGAGGAUUUUUUAGGGCAGCGAUUCUUUAUGAUAUGACAAUGGUAGAUACAGCUCAGACACUUGUCAAAACCCAUAGAAUGUGCAAAUGAAAAGUGAACCCUGAUGUGAACUAUGGACUUUGAGUGAUAAUGACGUGUCCAUGGAGGUUCUUUGACUGCAACAAACAUGCCACUUUGGUAGAGAAUGUCGAUCAAGGGGGAGGCUGUGCAUGUGUAGGGGCAGGGGGCAUAUGGAAAUCUCUGUACUUUCCACUUAAUUUUGCAGUGAACCUAAAACUGCUCUAAAAAGCAAAGUCUAUUAAAGAAAAUUCACAAUAACCUAAAACAGAUGUAGGCUAGAUUUGGCCAGAGGGCUACAGUUUGUCGAAUCUUGACUUAGAAUAAGUCCUUCGUUGAAGAAGUAAAAACUAUAACAAAAACCACCAACCAAAGUGUGUUCCAGUUACUGCUGCUGCAUAAUAAAUCACCCCCAAACAACUCUUUGAUUUUGCAUAAUCGUGUGGGUCAGGAAUUUUGGAAGGGCAUCUGCUGGGCAGUUGUCGAUCACUGUAGUCAGAUAUUGGCUGGGGCUGCAGCCACCUGAGGGCACAAGGGCCAGACAUCCAUGAUGCUCACUCCCGUGGCCUGGCAGCGGAUGGUGACUCUUGUCUGGGGGCACAGCUAGGCAGUCUGCUGGAGCACCACAUGAGGCCUCUCCAGCAUGGAGUUUUCUCAAUGCUGCAUGCUGCCCCCACAGCAAGCAACCCAAGAAAACCGGUGAAAGCUACAUGGCCUUUCCUUUUCUAGUGCUGAGAAGCCUCAGAGUAACUUCUUCCCCAUUCUUCUGGUUACAAGAGAAUCAGGAGCCAGUCCCACGUCAAGGGGAGGGAAGGUAGACACCACCUCUGAUGGGAAGCAUGUCAAAGACACUGUGGCUAAUUUUUAAAAUAAAGCAAUGUUGAAACUACACUCCAUUGUACUUCUACCUGGAAGCAGGGGAUGGGUAGAAAUGAAAUUAAUAUUUAUCACUAUGAACCAUGCAUGAUGUCAAAUACAGUACACAUGUUAGCCCACAACAACUUCCUGAAUUAAAAAGGGCAGUUCCUAUAUUACAGAUGAGGAACUGAAAGCACAGAGAGUUUCAGGUGCUCCUCAAAUUACGCCAGUAGCGAGUAGCAGAUUCUAAUGUCAACGCCAGAUGUGCCCAAUGUUCAUCCUUCCAGACUAUUUUAUGCUGCUGGAAACACGGCAAAGACAAGUAGCAUGUUGGGAAGGGAAUCAGCGUUCUCUUCGGCUAAAGCCUUUGUGUUCUCUAUGGUAGGGUUUCUCAAACUUUAACACAUAUAUACAUCCCCCGGGCAUCUUGCGAAAAUAGAUUCUCAUCCUUCAGGGCUGGGCUGGGGACUGAGAUUCCACAUCUAACAAGCUCCCAGGGGAUGCUGCUGCUGCUAGCCUGUGGCUUGCACUGUGGGAUGUGGGGCUCUAUGGCACAGCAGGGUGAUAAUACACUGGGGUGCAGUGCCCAGACAAGGCCCAGAGAGCCAAGCAAAGCAUGCGUCCUUCCUUAGGGGCCUGAUAACCUUCCCUAUUCUGGGGGCAGUGAGAGUCUAAGGAUAGAAGUCCAGGGGUGGGUAGUGGGUGGAAUGUGGUUGAAUUCCUUGGCAGUCUGUCCCACAAUGCCAGUAGGCAUAGGAAGAAGUUAGAAAUUGCCAUUUUCUUCUGGGAAAAUCUUUUUGUUUAUUCUUUCACUUUGGUUUUUCUGGAGUUGUACAAAAAUACGGAUAAUUGCAAAAAGCUGGACUAUUGCAAUUGUGUGUGAUUCAGACAGAAUAAGCCUGAGAGGCAUAACUGAGUCCAGAAAAAUGCCAAGUCAUAAAUCAAAAGUGAGAUCAAACUAAUUAUUCCAAGUGAGUCGAUGGCACAACACUUGUUUAUCUCAAUACAUAAUCGGCUUCACUAAUUAAAAUGCAAAUUCGAUUGCAUUUAUAACUGGUAACCCUGCCAAGUUAAAGCUUCAAUACAUCUGAUGUGUGAGCUGUACGAACUUUUCAGGGACACUAGGUGGCGCCCGUGUACUUUUCUUGAGAAAGCCAGGCUGCUUUAACCAUUUAAAAUUUCAAUCAGUGGAAAGAAACGAGUUAGCCCAGUGGUUCUCAAAGACAUUGAGUCAAAACUCUGGGGAUUGGGCCCCAGAUCUGUACGGUAAGUAAUUCUUCCCAGACGAUUUUAUUUUUAUACCAGUUGGUUAAUGUAAUGACAUUGGAAACAGCUAGCACAGUUAAGCGCUUAAUUGCUUAAUUGUAAUAUGAUAAAACUGAGGCUGAGAGA